rnacentral:lncRNA from 1 species
CCCACAAUCCAUUCAGUUAGUCUGGAAUUCCCCAAUAAACAAACAGACUGAGAGUUACCACUGAGCCAUGUUGAUUCCUGUUAUUUUGUUUUUGUGGCUUUUUAUUUUUCCCGGCCUGGAAUUAUUUAUUCCUUGUUGUUUUCUUGGGUGUGGUUAACCUCUUCAGGUAGAAGUUUUCCUUCCAGCCCCUUCUGUAGGGCUGGGUUUGUAGAUGUACUGCUUGAAGAUGGCUUUAUCGUGGGAUAUCUUUCUUUCUCCUCGAUUGAGAUUGAAAGUUUUGUGGCGUGUGGUAGUCUGGGCUGGCAUCUGUGGUCUCAUAGAUUUUAUAGAGCAUCUGUCCAGGUAGUUCUAGCUUUGAGAGUCUCCACUGAGGACUCGAGUGCAAACUUUAUAGAUGUUUGGUUUCACUCCCUUGCAGCUUCUAAUAUUCUUUUUGUUGUUGUUGCUGCUGUUGUGUACAUUUACUGUUUUGAUUAUGUGCCAAGAGAACUUUCUUUUCCGGUCCAAUCUAUUUUUGUGUUCUGUAUGCUCCUUGUACCUUGACAGGGUCUCCUUUAGGUUAGGAAAGUUGUCUUUUAUGAUUUUAUUGAAAAUAUUUUUUGUGCCAUUGACCUGUGCUGCUUCUCUUCUAUCUAUUCCUAUUAUUCAUGGAUUUGGUCUUCUCAUAGAACUCUAGAUCUCCUGGAUGUUUUGUGCUUGGAGCUUUUUUGAUUUAACAUCUUCUUUGAUGGAGGUAUUCUG